UACGUAGGGUGCAAGCGUUGUCCGGAAUUAUUGGGCGUAAAGAGCUCGUAGGCGGUUUGUCGCGUCUGCUGUGAAAUCCCGAGGCUCAACCCUGGGCGUGCAGUGGAUACGGGCAGGCUGGAGGCAGGCAGGGGAGAACGGAAUUCCCGGUGUAGCGGUGAAAUGCGCAGAUAGUCAGGAGGAACACCGGUGGCGAAGGCGGGGUCUCUGGGCCGGAACUGAC
rnacentral:rRNA from 1 species